UGGUCUUCCAAUGCUGACGUAGCUGGAUCGAAGGCCAAGUGGGGCGGUCUGGAUCCACAAGAGCCAGAAGGCCAAGGUCAGUCUGGCUCUAUAGGGGGCCUGACUCCCUAUGGCUCCCUUUCUCCCGGAGCCCUAGAUGUCUGGGGGGAGUCAGGGUGGGGCAGGGUGGGGCUCGACCAUAAAAGGUACCCCCUUUACCACGCGGCAGUCCCACCUCACAGAUAGCCCCAGGACCCGCCCGCAUAGUGACCUAGGGUGCUUACAUCUCACUCUCUCCUUCCCUCUGCCCAUCCCCAAUGGCCUGGAAAGUGACCACUGCCUGGACGGAUGGAUACCAGAGCAGGAAGAAUCGGGAGAAAUGGGGCACGCGCUAGCGGGAGCACACGGGGUCCAAGGGCGGGGGCGGCAGCGGACAAGAAGAGUGGAGAAAGCGCCCCGUCUUGGCUUCUUGGCAGAGGAAUGACUCUCCCGGAGAAGAGGAGCGGAGGGAUCUUCGGAGGUGAAGGUGUGAACACGGAAGACACCGAAGUCGACCAAAUUUGCAUGUCCUACACACAAAAGAAAUGCUAAAACGCAAAAGGGAAAGGAAUGGGUGUUUCUCUAACAUGGCAGCACUGUACUAAGCGGUUUUUACAAAAUAAAUAUCUCACUUCAUUAUAUAA